UACGUAGGGUGCGAGCGUUAAUCGGAAUUAUUGGGCGUAAAGCGCGUGUAGGCGGCCACGCAGGUCCGCUGUGAAAACUCGAGGCUCAACCUCGAGAUGUCGGUGGAAACCGCGUGGCUAGAGUCCGGAAGAGGAGAGUGGAAUUCCCGGUGUAGCGGUGAAAUGCGCAGAUAUCGGGAAGAACACCCAUGGCGAAGGCAGCUCUCUGGGACGGUACUGACGCUGAGACGCGAAAGCGUGGGGAGCGAACAGG
rnacentral:rRNA from 1 species